CAGCAGUGUGGUGCAGAGGAGUGUGUGCUGGGCCUCUCCACAGCUCCCUGGAUCCAGGGGGUUUAUCUCUCACAUGUUGUUUAAACCUCUUAAAUGUAAAGUCCCCAUAUUUGGGGACCCUAUUCGAUUUAAAAAAUAAUAAUAAUUCAGUCUGGUAUGAGAACGGUAGCCCCUAUCUGCAAAAGCAAGGGGUCUGCGGAUAGCUGAGUAUCUUGGCUAUUGAUCGGUGCAUUCAAAUCUUUGGUAUGAUUUGCUACCAUAUAUGGGCAUACAAAUGUAUACGGGCAGGCCGAGCCGAUGACCUCAUUUCAAGAUGGCUGCUACCUACAUAACGAAAUAAACACUGAAUACGUUGAUACACACCGAAAACUGUGACUCCACAGAUCAUGUGGAUAUCUUAUUUGUCAGCCUGUGACCUACCGUUAUUGAUCACCAGCCCCGACAGUCAAAAUGUUUUUACAAAACGUUUACAUCAAACAGCAAACAUCUUACAAGCCAAAGCUCCUGUCUAGGCUGAGGCUCUCUACCCUCCAUCCCUCCAUCCCCAGCAAGUCCAGAUUCAGGCGGUCUGCUCUGCUGUGCUAUUGAGGGGAUGAACAUGGAUUAUCCCUGGCCCGGCCAGCCCAUCAGGCCAGCCAAAGUGGGAGGCAUGGGGAGAAGCAGUGCUAAAGAGUGUCUAUGGAACUUCAUCCAGCAAUAUCAUCGAGUAACAUCUUGUCAGUGGCCUGACCUGAACCCAUCUGCUCCCAUCUGCUUGACAAAUUUGACUAUACAAAAUAGGGAGUUUGAAUGAGGAUACAGCAGUUUCCGGAAGUGUGUGGGUGGAAUUUGUGUCUGAGCUCACUCACACACACACACACACACACACACACCUAAACACAGGGGGGGAGAGCGAGGAGGCUGUGGUACGUUGUGCACCAAUUUUGAAUUUUAAAAACCUGUU
ensembl:lncRNA